rnacentral:rRNA from 1 species
UUGGAGGGCAAGUCUGGUGCCAGCAGCCGCGGUAAUUCCAGCUCCAAUAGCGUAUAUUAAAGUUGUUGCAGUUAAAAAGCUCGUAGUUGAAUUUCGGGAUCAAUACGUCGGUCGUGCUUCGGUACGUACUGGCGUAAUUGAUUUCUCCCUUCUGACGAACCAUGAUGUCAUUAACUUGGUGUCAUGGGAAAUCAGGACUGUUACUUUGAAAAAAUUAGAGUGUUUAAAGCAGGCUCACGCUUGAAUACAUUAGCAUGGAAUAAUGAAAUAGGACGUUCGAUCCUAUUUUGUUGGUUUUUAGGAUCAACGUAAUGAUUAAUAGGGGUAGUUGGGGGCAUUAGUAUUCAAUUGUCAGAGGUGAAAUUCUUGGAUUUAUUGAAGACUAACUACUGCGAAAGCAUUUGCCAAGGAUGUUUUCAUUAAUCAAGAACGAAAGUUAGGGGAUCGAAGACGAUCAGAUACCGUCGUAGUCUUAACCAUAAACUAUGCCGACUAGGGAUCGGAUGAUGUUAAUUUUUUAAUGACUCAUUCGGCGCCUUACGGGAAAC